GACGAACGCUGGCGGCGUGCUUAACACAUGCAAGUCGAGCGGAAAGGCCACUUCGGUGGUACUCGAGCGGCGAACGGGUGAGUAACACGUGAGUAAUCUGCCCCUGGCUUUGGGAUAGCCACCGGAAACGGUGAUUAAUGCCGGAUACGACCACUUCUCGCAUGGGAUGGUGGUGGAAAGUUUUUUCGGCCAGGGAUGUGCUCGCGGCCUAUCAGCUUGAUGGUGAGGUAAUGGCUCACCAUGGCUUCGACGGGUAGCCGGCCUAAGAGGGUGACCGGUCACACUGGGACUGAGACACGGCCCAGACUCCUACGGGAGGCAGCAGUGGGGAAUAUUGGACAAUGGGCGGAAGCCUGAUCCAGCAACGCCGCGUGAGGGAUGACGGCCUUCGGGUUGUAAACCUCUUUCAGCAGGGACGAAGCGCAAGUGACGGUACCUGCAGAAGAAGCACCGGCCAACUACGUGCCAGCCGCCGCUGUAA
rnacentral:rRNA from 1 species